rnacentral:piRNA from 1 species
UCAUCGGUACCUUGGAGCUGAUGGCGUC